UACGUAGGGUGCGAGCGUUAAUCGGAAUUACUGGGCGUAAAGCGUGCGUAGUCGGUUAUUUAAGUCGGAUGUGAAAUCCCCGGGCUCAACCUGGGAAUUGCAUUCGAUACUGGGUAGCUAGAGUUCGGCAGAGGGAAGCGGAAUUUCGGGUGUAGCGGUGAAAUGCGUAGAUAUCCGAAGGAACAUCAGUGGCGAAAGCGGCUUCCUGGACCAGAACUGACGAUCAGGCACGAAAGCGUGGGGAGCAAACAGG
rnacentral:rRNA from 1 species